rnacentral:lncRNA from 1 species
UAGACUUCAUAAAAGAAGCCCAUAAUGAAAGCUGCGCCUAAAAACACAACCAAAGCUUAAGCUCAAAAUCCUUAACCAUAUCAUUAAAAGAUUGUAUACCCAGGCAGCCCUCAUCAACUGGAUAACAAACUGCCAUCAACAAUUAAUCUAUUGCCUAGUCUUAGAGUCACCCCAUAAGAACCGGGUGAAAAGUCUCUCUGAGUGCUGAACAACAGCUGUAGGUGGGCGGUCCUGACCUUCUACAUGAUAAUAUCGAGAAAGUCUUGGGUAUUAUCGGGCAACUCAUCAUUAUGCUAGCAUGAUCAAUAAUCCCACCCAAUGAAAAAUUCGGGCUGUAUUCUUUAACAUCUCUUUUUGCUUGUAUUUCUAUGUUAUCAAGCAACUUCAAAUUUUUUUAAAGCUUUUACGUUCAUGUGUUAGAUUUACAAGCUUUAUGAUGUUUCACCUUGAUGAAGUAAAAACUGAACUUAAUUUAUAUCGAAAUUAUCUAGAAGCUUCAAUUUUUAAAUAAAUAUUACUUAUUAUGCAUUGUACAUCUACUUCAACGAUUCACAAUAAGUACAUGAUUGAUGCGUUGAUUUUAACCAUGCUAUCAAACAAAAAUGAAAAGAAGUAUUUGCGUGUCAAAGGUAU